rnacentral:rRNA from 1 species
UACGUAGGGUGCAAGCGUUGUCCGGAUUUAUUGGGCGUAAAGAGCUCGUAGGCGGUUUGUCGCGUCGGAUGUGAAAACCCAGGGCUCAACCCUGGGCCUGCAUUCGAUACGGGCAGACUAGAGUAUGGCAGGGGAGACUGGAAUUCCUGGUGUAGCGGUGAAAUGCGCAGAUAUCAGGAGGAACACCGGUGGCGAAGGCGGGUCACUGGACCAUUACUGACGCUGAGGCACGAAAGCUAGGGGAGCAAACAGG